AGUCGAGCGACGGACGAGAAGCUUGCUUCUCUGAUGUUAGCGGCGGACGGGUGAGUAACACGUGGAUAACCUACCUAUAAGACUGGGAUAACUUCGGGAAACCGGAGCUAAUACCGGAUAAUAUUUUGAACCGCAUGGUUCAAAAGUGAAAGACGGUCUUGCUGUCACUUAUAGAUGGAUCCGCGCUGCAUUAGCUAGUUGGUAAGGUAACGGCUUACCAAGGCAACGAUGCAUAGCCGACCUGAGAGGGUGAUCGGCCACACUGGAACUGAGACACGGUCCAGACUCCUACGGGAGGCAGCAGUAGGGAAUCUUCCGCAAUGGGCGAAAGCCUGACGGAGCAACGCCGCGUGAGUGAUGAAGGUCUUCGGAUCGUAAAACUCUGUUAUUAGGGAAGAACAUAUGUGUAAGUAACUGUGCACAUCUUGACGGUACCUAAUCAGAAAGCCACGGCUAACUACGUGCCAGCAGCCGCGGUAAUACGUAGGUGGCAAGCGUUAUCCGGAAUUAUUGGGCGUAAAGCGCGCGUAGGCGGUUUUUUAAGUCUGAUGUGAAAGCCCACGGCUCAACCGUGGAGGGUCAUUGGAAACUGGAAAACUUGAGUGCAGAAGAGGAAAGUGGAAUUCCAUGUGUAGCGGUGAAAUGCGCAGAGAUAUGGAGGAACACCAGUGGCGAAGGCGACUUUCUGGUCUGUAACUGACGCUGAUGUGCGAAAGCGUGGGGAUCAACAGGAUUAGAUACCUGGUAGUCACGCCGUAACGAUGAGUGCUAGUGUAGGGGUUC
rnacentral:rRNA from 1 species